UUUAUAAAAGAGAAAAAGAAGAGUUUUAAGCCUCCAUUGAGAGCUGCGAGACAUAAAAGGGGAAUUCCGAAUUUUCUUACGAUUAACGGUUAAGAUUUAGUAUUACAAUGGAAGUUGUUCAAACCUCUGAACUAAACAUGUGGACCCGAUUGAGAAGAUGUCAAAUAAUUGAAGAACCAGAAGAUAAAAGGGAGGAGAGGCAUAUGGCAAAGCAGGCACAACUUGGUGUCUGGUUGAAGAUGAAAGUUAAAGAAAGAUUGUUGGGUGUUGAGUACUGUUGGCGCAAUGCGGAAAUGUGAUGGGUUUAUGGAAAUGAAUUUAGGAAGAGAGGUUGGUUAAUUGAAAGGUGAGGCUUAUAUUAAUAUGAAAAUGAAAAUAUUACAAGAGGCUUGUGUAGCAACUUUGGCUUACACUAGUUGUUUACAAAGAGGCACUUUGGCUCUUACUCUAAACUCUAGCUCUCACUCUUACUACUUACUCACUCACUUGAGUUGUGGAUGACCACAAAGGCCAACAUUUGCUUCUAUUUAUACUA